rnacentral:rRNA from 1 species
ACUACGGGAGGCAGCAGUGGGGAAUAUUGGGCAAUGGGCGCAAGCCUGACCCAGCAACGCCGCGUGAAGGAAGAAGGCUUUCGGGUUGUAAACUUCUUUUCUCAGGGACGAAGAAAGUGACGGUACCUGAGGAAUAAGCCACGGCUAACUACGUGCCAGCAGCCGCGGUAAUACGUAGGUGGCAAGCGUUAUCCGGAUUUAUUGGGUGUAAAGGGCGUGUAGGCGGGAGCGCAAGUCAGAUGUGAAAACUCAGGGCUCAACCCUGAGCCUGCAUUUGAAACUGUGUUUCUUGAGUGCUGGAGAGGCAAUCGGAAUUCCGUGUGUAGCGGUGAAAUGCGUAGAUAUACGGAGGAACACCAGUGGCGAAGGCGGAUUGUUGGACAGUAACUGACGCUGAGGCGCGAAAGCGUGGGGAGCAAACAGGAUUAGAUACCCUUGUAGUC